rnacentral:lncRNA from 1 species
AUGAUGCCUGCGGACCUGGAGGGAGUCCCGGGCUCACGCACCAGAUGCUGGAGCCCCUGGGGGUCUCGAAGGGGAAUCGGGGACGGGGUUGAUGCCUGCCUUUCUGCCACGGCUCACUGGUUGCACAGGACAAGUUGGGUCAAAGCCGGUGGCCCAGCCCCUGGUCACCGGUGUGGGGGGCCCGGUGCGCUGGAGACGAGAAUGGCCACUGGGCCUCCGGUCUGGGUGGUAAGGCUGUGGGGUUCUUCUGCUGCUGGCCUGGCACGGGUUCCCCGACCAGGCCGCAGGGGGUGCGCCCAAGUCGCUGCAUCUGGGGACCCUGAGCCUUCCGGACGCCCAGCUGGGUGGCAACCUCCGCUUUGGCCAGGAAUUCUGCAUCAGCCUUUGGGGGGCUCCCAGAGUCUCCUCUGUUUACUGACUGUCCUGGGCAAGUGCCCACCAGGCAUCAGUCAUAAAUGGAGCCCAGGCGGCAGGACACAUGUGGUGUGUGUGUGGUGUGUGUGUGUGUGUGUGUGUGUGUGUGUGUGUGAGAGAGAGAGAGAGAGAGAGACAGAGACAGAGCGCGCGAGAGAGACAGGCGGGGGCAAGGUCCCUCCCCAAGUCCCCACGACCCAGGAUGCAAGGUGGGGGACACCUGUUUACGGUGGGGGGAGGGGGCUCGCUGGGAAGCCGCAGGACCCGGGAGGGACCCCUGCGCCAGGAGGUGCACCUGCUGGGCUCCUCGUCUGUUUACGCUACAACAGGGAGCCCCCUUCCCCUUAUGUAAGCCCUGCGUCUGUCUGGGUCUGCAGUCCGCCUGCUCCUGGGCCCCGAGACCCUCGCACCCCCUCCUGCCCGGCGUCACCAGGCACUUGGACGCAACAGCGCAGCCCCCUCCCCAGGAAAGAGAAGAAAAGAGGGGUGCGCCGGCCCACCCACAACCCCCCUCCCCAACCCGGCCCUUCCUCUGUAAUGACAGCGCAGCGCGCCAGCCGCGGCGCGCGGGGAGGGGGCUCCGGAAAGACGAAGGCGGGGGACCCCCGCCCACGAGCAGGGGCGGCGCGGGGAGAGGGACGCGGGAGCCAGCAAAGCGCGCCAUGGCGCCGGGGCCCCCCAGGCCAGCGCGGGGGGGCGCAGGGGUCGCGCGCAGGAGCCCCGCGCCGCAGCCUCGCCUCCCUCCUCCCCCUCCCGGUCCCCGCCCCGCGCUCGCCCCCGCGCCCCCCGCCGCCCGCGUUCGGCCGCGCGCUGCGCCCCGCGGGGCCGGGCUUACACCUGUCACCGCGCGCCCGCCGCCUCGCCGCCGCCGCCGCCCAAGUUCGCGGGGACUUGGCGGGCGCGCCGCCUGCCGCCUCCCCGCCCGCGCCCGCGUCCUCGCCCAUGGCCGCCGCCCCCGCCCGCCCGCCGCCCGCGCCCCCCGCGCCGCCCGCCCAGCCCCGCGGCCGCCGGGCCCGGUGA